GCCAGGCACAGUGGUGCUUGCCUGUAAUCCCAGCAGCUUGGGAGGCUGAGGCAGGAGGAUCGCUAGUUCAAAGCCAGCCUCAGCAACUUAGCAAGGCUCUAAGCAACUUAGUGAGACCCUGUCUCUA
rnacentral:sRNA from 1 species